GUUAUCGGUGUUCAUCCUAUGUCGUGAAGAUCGGGACAACGUGUCGCAUCAUCUGGUAUCAAAGCUUUCGUUACCACGGUAGGAAUUUUUUCCCUAGCUACAUAUAUAUUUUGCUUCGUCCUAUCCACCAAAAGCCAGAAGAAUAUAUUGCUUAGACCUUUGUUUCAAUCUGUUAUUUUAGUGAGUUCGGUUAAGUCACAGUCCAUUAGAGUCUUUGUUUUAGUUGCUGAUCAUUUAUCCUUCGCGUGUUCUUUGUGCCUCUUUUAUAUCUAAAAAUCCCCACAAAAAAAACUCUAUAACCUAUAUCAUCCUUUGUGUUAACUUUGAUCCUAUCUAGCUACUGGUUGUUGUUUUAUUUGUCUUUAGUUGUACAAGUAUCAUAAUCUGAUCUCUGUUUUUAGUUCUACAUAAAAAAAAGUGUGUCAAAAAAAAGAAAAGAAAGUGCAAAAAAAAGUGAAGUGAAAAAAAGUUGAGAAAGGUUCAGAGAGAAAGUCUGAAAGAUUAGUUGAUUUAUGUGCACAAGUGCUGAAAGUUUCAUAUUAAGUUCUGCAACUAGUUUGCUAUCUUUGUUUGGUGCAUUACUUUGGUUGGGUC
rnacentral:lncRNA from 1 species